AUUGAACGCUGGCGGCAGGCCUAACACAUGCAAGUCGAGCGGAGCGGCGGACGGGUGGGUAAUGACUAGGUAUCUGCCUGGCCGUGGGGGAUGACGUCCGGAAACGGGCGCUAAUACAGCAUACUCUCUGAUGGGCGUAGGUCGGAUUAGCUAGGUGGUGGGGUAAAGGCUUACCAAGGCGACGAUCCGUAACUGGUCUGAGAGGAUGAACAGUCACACUGGAACUGAGACACGGUCCAGACUCCUACGGGAGGCAGCAGUGGGGAAUAUUGGACAAUGGGCGAAAGCCUGAUCCAGCCAUGCCGCGUGUGUGAAGAAGGUCUUCGGAUUGUAAAGCACUUUAAGUUGGGAGGCGUUACCAACAGAAUAAGCACCGGCUAACUUCGUGCCAGCAGCCGCGGUAAUAC
rnacentral:rRNA from 1 species